GGGUUGUGAGGUUAAGCGACUAAGCGUACACGGUGGAUGCCCUGGCAGUCAGAGGCGAUGAAGGACGUGCUAAUCUGCGAUAAGCGUCGGUAAGGUGAUAUGAACCGUUAUAACCGGCGAUUUCCGAAUGGGGAAACCCAGUGUGUUUCGACACACUAUCAUUAACUGAAUCCAUAGGUUAAUGAGGCGAACCGGGGGAACUGAAACAUCUAAGUACCCCGAGGAAAAGAAAUCAACCGAGAUUCCCCCAGUAGCGGCGAGCGAACGGGGAGCAGCCCAGAGCCUGAAUCAGUGUGUGUGUUAGUGGAAGCGUCUGGAAAGGCGCGCGAUACAGGGUGACAGCCCCGUACACAAAAAUGCACAUGCUGUGAGCUCGAUGAGUAGGGCGGGACACGUGGUAUCCUGUCUGAAUAUGGGGGGACCAUCCUCCAAGGCUAAAUACUCCUGACUGACCGAUAGUGAACCAGUACCGUGAGGGAAAGGCGAAAAGAACCCCGGCGAGGGGAGUGAAAAAGAACCUGAAACCGUGUACGUACAAGCAGUGGGAGCCUCUUUAUGGGGUGACUGCGUACCUUUUGUAUAAUGGGUCAGCGACUUAUAUUCUGUAGCAAGGUUAACCGAAUAGGGGAGCCGAAGGGAAACCGAGUCUUAACUGGGCGUUAAGUUGCAGGGUAUAGACCCGAAACCCGGUGAUCUAGCCAUGGGCAGGUUGAAGGUUGGGUAACACUAACUGGAGGACCGAACCGACUAAUGUUGAAAAAUUAGCGGAUGACUUGUGGCUGGGGGUGAAAGGCCAAUCAAACCGGGAGAUAGCUGGUUCUCCCCGAAAGCUAUUUAGGUAGCGCCUCGUGAAUUCAUCUCCGGGGGUAGAGCACUGUUUCGGCAAGGGGGUCAUCCCGACUUACCAACCCGAUGCAAACUGCGAAUACCGGAGAAUGUUAUCACGGGAGACACACGGCGGGUGCUAACGUCCGUCGUGAAGAGGGAAACAACCCAGACCGCCAGCUAAGGUCCCAAAGUCAUGGUUAAGUGGGAAACGAUGUGGGAAGGCCCAGACAGCCAGGAUGUUGGCUUAGAAGCAGCCAUCAUUUAAAGAAAGCGUAAUAGCUCACUGGUCGAGUCGGCCUGCGCGGAAGAUGUAACGGGGCUAAACCAUGCACCGAAGCUGCGGCAGCGACACUAUGUGUUGUUGGGUAGGGGAGCGUUCUGUAAGCCUGUGAAGGUGUGCUGUGAGGUAUGCUGGAGGUAUCAGAAGUGCGAAUGCUGACAUAAGUAACGAUAAAGCGGGUGAAAAGCCCGCUCGCCGGAAGACCAAGGGUUCCUGUCCAACGUUAAUCGGGGCAGGGUGAGUCGACCCCUAAGGCGAGGCCGAAAGGCGUAGUCGAUGGGAAACAGGUUAAUAUUCCUGUACUUGGUGUUACUGCGAAGGGGGGACGGAGAAGGCUAUGUUGGCCGGGCGACGGUUGUCCCGGUUUAAGCGUGUAGGCUGGUUUUCCAGGCAAAUCCGGAAAAUCAAGGCUGAGGCGUGAUGACGAGGCACUACGGUGCUGAAG
rnacentral:rRNA from 1 species